ensembl:lncRNA
AGGAGUCCUCCUUUCUGAGCUCCAGCCCCAGCCCCUCGAACCACCUGUAAUCUAGGCACCUUUGCCAACACCUCCCAAGGAUGGAGGACUGGGCGAGGGACUGGGAAAGAGGCAUAUUUAGUUUUGUGGGGCCUAUCUCCGCUGCCUCCUUCUCCACUUCUGCAAUCUCAUUCCCUCUCUCUCUCUCUCUCUCUGUCUCUCUCUCUCUCUCUCAGAAGUGACAAUUCAGAAAAAGAAAAGAAAACUGAGAAUGCAGGUUUUUCUACUAACAGCUGAGGAGACAGGCUUUCUUACUUUAAUGUCUCUCCUUCUGACACUGUCCAGAAGGGAGAAAUUUGUCCUGUAAAAUAGACUUCCAGAGCUCUUUUGCCCCCUCUGCUCCCACGCACCCUCCCCUUCCAAGUCCUUUAGCAAGGCCUGGAUGUUUAGGGAGAAAGUGGUCCAAGGCUGCUGACAAGAGGGACCAAAGGGGGUGCUGGGUUCCCAGGGAGCAGGGAUGUUUAAUUACUAUGUCAUGAUGUGAGCUGAACUCCUCGAAUUGAAGAGACCUACACUUGGUCACAUUCUCUCACGCUGCCUUCAGGAUCCCCAGCCCCCAACUCUUCUUCCUGAGGAUGGAAAUCCACUCCAGCCCCACUAGGACUGAUGUGGGUGCCAUACAGACAGGAGCGGCCCACCAGGGAAGUGUAGGGAGGAAGCUGAAUAUCCCAGAGUAGCUGGACCACAAAGACUUGGGUCAGAGCCGAUUUCAACCCCAAAAUUGUCUCUUGGGUUCACCCUACUCUUCUGAAAAUGAAAAUUUGUUUGGGGCCUUGGUAACCGAUAGUGGUACAAACUCCAAGGCACUGUGGACUUGAGUCCAUUCCUAUCUGACCUCUUUUUGUCCCCCUCAAGCCUCAAGGGCCUCAAGCCCCUCCUUAGUAGCCCUUGGCCGACCGGGCCCUGAGCCCCAAACAUCCUUUUUCCCAACGACCCUCCUUCCCCUUCCUUCCCCCACCCUUACCUACACCCAAAGUGGAGCAGACUGCAGCCAGAUUCUCCAGGUGGGAGAUCCAAGCUUCCCUCCCGGGGGGUGGAGUCCACUCUGGGCUUACUUCGAGGCCUGUUCUGUGGAUUGGUGAGCCAAGCUGGCACUCCUUGCCCUGGUCUUACCUAGGUUCUCUGUCCCCCUCUCACUUCCUGUGGGGCCGGAAUCUGUAUUUAUCCAUCCCCCUUUCCCUUCUUUAUAGAAGUCCCUGUCCUAAACUCCCUCCCUACCCCAAGAGAGCCCCAGAACUGGGGAAGCCUGACCCAUACAGAAUGGGGAGGGCACUCUAGGCAGGAGAGACAUUAAUGAGCCUGGCUGCGGAGUGGCCCUGGAAAGGCAGGCCAGAAUGGCUGAGAGGCCGGGAGUGGGGGAGCCUGUUCUCUCAGCGAUAGUGAUGGGGGUGCCUUUCCGAGGGGGUGGGGUGGGAAGACCAAGGGGUGGGGGUAGAUAGGGUACAUUCAGGAGGGUUUUCCUCCAUUUCUUUUUUCUAACUGCCUGGAUUCACCAUUGGAUUUUGUAAAUGGAAAAACUGAAAUGAACAAUGC